rnacentral:rRNA from 1 species
AUACGUAGGUGACAAGCGUUAUCCGGAUUUACUGGGCGUAAAGGGCGUGUAGGCGGUCUUGCAAGUCAGAAGUGAAAUUCCUGAGCUCAACUCGGGCGCUGCUUCUGAAACUGCAGGACUUGAGUGCUGGAGGGGAUAGCGGAAUUCCUAGUGGAGCGGUAAAAUGCGCAGAUAUUAGGAAGAACACCGGUGGCGAAGGCGGCUAGCUGGACAGUAACGGACGCUGAGGCGCGAAAGCGUGGGGAGCAAACAGGAUUAGAGUCCCUGGUAGUCCACGCCGUAAACGAUGAAUACUAGGUGUAGGGGGUAUCGACUCCCUCUGUGCCGCAGUUAACACAAUAAGUAUUCCGCCUGGGGAGUACGGCCGCAAGGUUGAAGCUCAAAUGAAUUGGCGGGG